AAUAGAUACCCUGGUAGUCCACGCCGUAAACGAUGAGUGCUAAGUGUUAGAGGGUUUCCGCCCUUUAGUGCUGCAGCUAACGCAUUAAGCACUCCGCCUGGGGAGUACGGCCGCAAGGCUGAAACUCAAAGGAAUUGACGGGGGCCCGCACAAGCGGUGGAGCAUGUGGUUUAAUUCGAAGCAACGCGAAGAACCUUACCAGGUCUUGACAUCCUCUGCCAACCCUAGAGAUAGGGCGUUCCCCUUCGGGGGACAGAGUGACAGGUGGUGCAUGGUUGUCGUCAGCUCGUGUCGUGAGAUGUUGGGUUAAGUCCCGCAACGAGCGCAACCCUUGAUCUUAGUUGCCAGCAUUCAGUCGGGCACUCUAAGGUGACUGCCGGUGACAAACCGGAGGAAGGUGGGGAUGACGUCAAAUCAUCAUGCCCCUUAUGACCUGGGCUACACACGUGCUACAAUGGAUGGUACAAAGAGCUGCGAACCCGCGAGGGUAAGCGAAUCUCAUAAAGCCAUUCUCAGUUCGGAUUGU
rnacentral:rRNA from 1 species